ACGGAAGGCAGCAGUGGGGAAUAUUGCACAAUGGGGGAAACCCUGAUGCAGCGACGCCGCGUGGAGGAAGAAGGUCUUCGGAUUGUAAACUCCUGUUGUUAGGGACGAUAAUGACGGUACCUAACAAGGAAGCCACGGCUAACUACGUGCCAGCAGCCGCGGUAAAACGUAGGUGGCAGGCGUUGUCCGGAAUUACUGGGUGUAAAGGGAGCGCAGGCGGACCGACAAGUUGGAAGUGAAACCCACGGGCUCAACCUGUGGCCUGCUUCCAAAACUGUCGGUCUUGAGUAGUGUAGAGGUAGGCGGAAUUCCCGGUGUAGCGGUGGAAUGCGUAGAUAUCGGGAGGAACACCAGUGGCGAAGGCGGCCUACUGGGCACCAACUGACGCUGAGGCUCGAAAGUAUGGGUAGCAAACAGGAUUAGAUACCCUGGUA
rnacentral:rRNA from 1 species